UCCUUGGUUGUCCCCCGGAUCAAACAUCUCCAGGGCCUGAGUAGGCGUAGUAAAACCCAAAUCAUCUUCGAUGGUGUGAGGUGUGAGUUCAACCAACAUGUCCUCCCUCUCAUUCAAAGGAAUUUUCAAGGGAACAUUUCGAGUAGGUUCAAUUCCUUGCUUAACACCAGAUUGAACUAUGAUCCCGAACUUUUCCUGCUCAACCAGAU
rnacentral:lncRNA from 1 species